ACUGCUCAGUAACACGUGGAUAACCUGCCCUUGGGUCCGGCAUAACCCCGGGAAACUGGGGAUAAUUCCGGAUAACGCAUAUAUGCUGGAAUGCUUUAUGUGUAAAAUGGAUUCGUCUGCCCAAGGAUGGGUCUGCGGCCUAUCAGGUAGUAGUGGGUGUAAUGUACCUACUAGCCUACGACGGGUACGGGUUGUGAGAGCAAGAGCCCGGAGAUGGAUUCUGAGACAUGAAUCCAGGCCCUACGGGGCGCAGCAGGCGCGAAAACUUUACAAUGCGGGAAACCGUGAUAAGGGGACACCGAGUGCCAGCAUCCUAUGCUGGCUGUCCGGGUGUGUAAAAUACACCUGUUAGCAAGGGCCGGGCAAGACCGGUGCCAGCCGCCGCGGUAACACCGGCGGCCCGAGUGGUGAUCGUGAUUAUUGGGUCUAAAGGGUCCGUAGCCGGUUUGGUCAGUCCUCCGGGAAAUCUGACAGCUCAACUGUUAGGCUUUCGGAGGAUACUGCCAGACUUGGAACCGGGAGAGGUAAGAGGUACUACAGGGGUAGGAGUGAAAUCUUGUAAUCCCUGUGGGACCACCUGUGGCGAAGGCGUCUUACCAGAACGGGUUCGACGGUGAGGGACGAAAGCUGGGGGCACGAACCGGAUUAGAUACCCGGGUAGUCCCAGCCGUAAACGAUGCUCGCUAGGUGUCAGGCAUGGCGCGACCGUGUCUGGUGCCGCAGGGAAGCCGUGAAGCGAGCCACCUGGGAAGUACGGCCGCAAGGCUGAAACUUAAAGGAAUUGGCGGGGGAGCA
rnacentral:rRNA from 1 species